GAGUUCUCGGGAACAGCGGCUCGGCCUGCAAGGCUGUUGUUUCAAGAAAUGAAAAUGAAGGGCGCCCUGGAAUAGGUUCGCCGAAGAGAGAGCAACAUGGCCUGUCGCGGUGGCUCAUGCCUGUAUUCCCAGCACUUUGGGAGGCCAAAGCAGGAAGAUCGCUUGAGCCCAGGAGUUUGAGACCAUCCUGGACAAGGCCUCUGGGAAGCAAGCCAUCGUGUGGCAGAGGCCCAGGUGGCAAGGAACCAAGGGCGGCUUCUGGCCAACAGCCAGCGAGGACCUGAGACCGUAGCCCAACACCCCUCCAGGAACUGAAUUUUGCCAGCAACCAGUGAGUGACCUUGGAAGUGGAUCCUUCCCCCGAAAGCCCGGCUUUCAGGAUUGGAGGCUGUUGUCAUUGGAGAAGUUCAUGAGAAUGUUACUCUGCACUGUGGCAACAUCUCGGGACUGAGGGGCCAGGUGACCUGGUACCGGAACAACUCGGAGCCUGUCUUCCUUCUCUCGUCCAACUCUAGCCUCCGGCCAGCUGAGCCUCGCUUCUCUCUAGUGGAUGCCACCUCCCUGCACAUUGA
rnacentral:lncRNA from 1 species